rnacentral:rRNA from 1 species
CACGUAGGAAUGUGUCCGGAGGUGGGGGACAACCCUCGGAAACAAGGCCUAAUACCGCAUAUGGGCUGAGGCCCAAACCCGCGAGGCGCCUUUGGAGUAGCCUGCGUCCGAUUAGCUAGUUGGUGGGGUAAAGGCCUACCAAGGCGACGAUCGGUAGCUGGUCUGAGAGGACGACCAGCCACACUGGGACUGAGACACGGCCCAGACUCCUACGGGAGGCAGCAGUGGGGAAUAUUGGACAAUGGGCGCAAGCCUGAUCCAGCAAUGCCGCGUGGGUGAAGAAGGUCUUCGGAUCGUAAA